UACGUAGGUGGCUAGCGUUGUCCGGAUUUACUGGGCGUAAAGAGCGCGCAGGCGGUCGUCAAGUCGAGUGUGAAAGCCCCCGGCUCAACUGGGGAGGGUCACUCGAUACUGCCGGGCUCGAGUCCGGAAGAGGCGAGUGGAAUCCCGGUGUAGCGGUGAAAUGCGCAGAUAUCGGGAGGAACACCAAUGGCGAAGGCGAGCUCGCCUGG
rnacentral:rRNA from 1 species